CCUACGGGAGGCAGCAGUGGGGAAUAUUGCACAAUGGGGGAAACCCUGAUGCAGCGACGCCGCGUGAGUGAAGAAGUAUUUCGGUAUGUAAAGCUCUAUCAGCAGGGAAGAAAAUGACGGUACCUGAUUAAGAAGCCCCGGCUAACUACGUGCCAGCAGCCGCGGUCAUACGUAGGGGGCAAGCGUUAUCCGGAGUUACUGGGUGUAAAGGGAGCGUAGACGGCAGCACAAGUCUGGAGUGAAAUGCUGGGGCUUAACCCGGGAACUGCUUUGGAAACUGUGCGGCUAGAGUGCAGGAGAGGGAAGUGGAAUUCCUGGUGUAGCGGUGAAAUGCGUAGAGAUUAGGAGGAAUACCAGUGGCGAAGGCGGCUUACUGGACUGUAACUGACGUUGAGGCGCGAAAGCGUGGGGAGCAAACAGGAUUAGAUACCCUGGUAGUC
rnacentral:rRNA from 1 species